AUGGCCGUGCAGGUUCGCUGCAGCUUUGUUCUGCUCAGCAAGGGCCGCUCCACGUGCAAGGCGCAGGCGCGGUCCCCAUGGCGUCUCCCACAGGAGUACGGGAUUGGCAAUGGUCCUGACCUGUGUCCUGGACACAAGCUGAUUUCCUCAAUUGUUCUGUGGUGGAGUGUGGAACUGAACAUGAGGCAGUCCUGCAAUGGAGCCCCUGCACAGAGCAACCUGCGUCACCUCUCCUGUGACACCCAGAUAUCAGAGCACAAGAUGCACCUGAACUGGAGCUUCUUCUUCUGGGUGGCCGCAGCUGCAGGUGUCCACUCCCAGAUCAAGCUGGAGCAGCCUGGGGCUGAAGUGAGGAUGUCUGAAGACUCGGCCAGGCUGGCCUGCAGGGCCUCUGGAUACACCUUCACCAGCUAUUUUAUGCACUGGGUGAGGCAGAAGGCAGGACAGGGGCUUGACUGGAUUGGAUGGGUUGAGCCUACUGAUGGUGAGACCACGUACACUCAGAAGUUCAAGGGCAAGGUCUCCCUGACUGCAAACACCUCCUCCAGCACAGCCUCCAUGGAGCUGAGCAGGCUGACAGCUGAGGACUCGGCCGGGUACUACUGUGUGAGGCAUAGUGUGCACACCCACAUCCUGAGUGUGUCAGAAACCUGA